rnacentral:rRNA from 1 species
UACGUAGGGCGCAAGCGUUAUCCGGAAUUAUUGGGCGUAAAGAGCUCGUAGGCGGUUUGUCGCGUCUGCUGUGAAAGACCGGGGCUCAACUCCGGUUCUGCAGUGGGUACGGGCAGACUAGAGUGCAGUAGGGGAGACUGGAAUUCCUGGUGUAGCGGUGAAAUGCGCCAGAUAUCAGGAGGAACACCGAUGGCGAAGGCAGGUCUCUGGGCUGGUAACUGACGCUGAGGAGCGAAAGCGUGGGGAGCGAACAGG